rnacentral:rRNA from 1 species
AGCAGCCGCGGUAAUUCCAGCUCCAAUAGCGUAUAUUAAAGUUGUUGCAGUUAAAAAGCUCGUAGUUGAAUUUCGGGAUUGACGUGAUGGUCGUGCCUUAAGGGGUAUGAACUGUUGCAGUUGAUUUCUCACCUUCUGGAAAAACUUGAUGUCCUUUAUUGGGUGUCUUGCGGAUCCAGGACCUUUACCUUGAAAAAAUUAGAGUGCUUAAAGCAGGCAUUUUUGCUCGAAUACAUUAGCAUGGAAUAAUAGAAUAGGACGGCAUGGUUCUAUUUUGUUGGUUUCUAGGAUCACCGUAAUGAUUAAUAGGGAUAGUUGGGGGCAUUAGUAUUCAAUUGUCAGAGGUGAAAUUCUUGGAUUUAUUGAAGACUAACUACUGCGAAAGCAUUUGCCAAGGAUGUUUUCAUUAAUCAAGAACGAAAGUUAGGGGAUCGAAGGCGAUCAGAUACCGUCGUAGUCUUAACCAUAAACUAUGCCGACUAGGAAUCAGACGAUGUAAUUUUUUCAAUGACUCGUUUGG